rnacentral:rRNA from 1 species
GAUGAACGCUGGCGGCGUGCCUAAUACAUGCAAGUCGAGCGAACGGACGAGAAGCUUGCUUCUCUGAUGUUAGCGGCGGACGGGUGAGUAACACGUGGAUAACCUACCUAUAAGACUGGGAUAACUUCGGGAAACCGUAGCUAAUACCGGAUAAUAUUUUGAACCGCAUGGUUCAAAAGUGAAAGACGGUCUUGCUGUCACUUAUAGAUGGAUCCGCGCUGCAUUAUCUAGUUGGUAGGGUAACGGCUUACCAAGGCAACGAUGCAUAGCCGACCUGAGAGGGUGAUGGGCCACACUGAAGCUGAGACGCGGUACAGGCUCCUACGGGAGGCAGCGGUAGGGAAUCUUCCGCAAUGGGCGAAAGCCUGACGGAGCGACGGCGCGUGAGUGAUGAAGGUCUGCGGAUCGUAAAACUCUGUUAUUAGGGAAGAACAUAUGUGUAAGUAACUGUGCACAUCUGGACGGUACCUAAUCAGAAAGCCACGGCUAACUACGU